UUUGUUUUCUUUUAAAAAUUAAUUCCCUGAAAAUAGAACAAUGAGAAUUGGGGAUGUACUAUCCUUAAUUUUUUGUGUUGGGGAUAUUACAAAUUUUGACAUAAUUGACUUAACUUUAUAAGGGCAUAAUUAGUUACGGGAAAUUUUCGUGCAAAUUUUGCAAUUUAGUAUGCAAUAAAAUUGAAUUUGUGCGAGUGUGCAGUGUCUCCAAGUUCAGCUGUUAUAUGCUCUAGACUAUUCUUUAUCUAGAAAAGCUAAUAAUGGAGUUUAUUUAGAAAUGCUUUAUUGACGUUAUGCAACUCACCAUUGAU
rnacentral:lncRNA from 1 species